AGUGGCAAGUGACGAUGAAAUUAUUUAUAUGCUAAACACUGAAUCUUUUGUGGACUAAAAACUCCGCUUAUUAUCUGAUGCCACU